GCUGCUGCUUCCAAUGAGAUUCCAGGAAGCAUCCUUUCCUUCUUUGGUCCCACGUCCCCCUUUCCCUCUUUGUCAGGAAAGGCGUUCUCCCAAAAGUUCCAGGCUGAACAAGGACUAGAAGAAUGUAAUGGAGCAUGCAUCUGGCAGCAUGACAUUAUUCCUGUGGUGUGCAGUGUGCCCUCCAUACAGAGAAUCACCACUGUGGAUUUCUGCUUCAGUCCUCUAGGCAUGAGGAGUUUUACUGUGUGCACUGAGGAGAGCCGGAAAGGAGAAUGGUGUCAUCACCCAAGGGGAAACAAAAAUCAUACAGGAACGGGGAGGGGAAAUUUCGG